rnacentral:rRNA from 1 species
UUCGUAGGGUGCGAGCGUUAAUCGGAAUUACUGGGCGUAAAGCGUGCGCAGGCGGCUUUGUAAGUCAGAUGUGAAAUCCCCGAGCUCAACUUGGGAACUGCGUUUGAAACUACAAGGCUAGAAUAUGUCAGAGGGGGGUAGAAUUCCACGUGUAGCAGUGAAAUGCGUAGAGAUGUGGAGGAAUACCAAUGGCGAAGGCAGCCCCCUGGCCUAAUACUGACGCUCAUGCACGAAAGCGUGGGGAGCAAACAGG